GACGUAGGGGGCGAGCGUUGUCCGGAUUCAUUGGGCGUAAAGCGCGCGUAGGCGGCUGCGCAAGUCGGUUGUGAAAUUCCGGGGCUCAACCCCGGAACUGCGUCCGAUACUGCGUGGCUAGAGGUAGGUAGGGGAGAUCGGAAUUCCUGGUGUAGCGGUGAAAUGCGUAGAUAUCUGGAGGAACACCGGUGGCGAAGGCGGCAUCCUGGACCGGCAUUGACGCUGAACAGCGAAAGCCAGGGGAGCAAACGGG
rnacentral:rRNA from 1 species